UUUCAUUUCAUCUUUUGUCAGAUUUCUUUACAACAACAACAACAACAACAACAACAGCAACAACAACAACAACGAUGAGUGAUAAAUACAACAUGACACGUUUCUUUCCUACACCAACACAGCCGUCCAUCACUACUGAGAAAUCCACUGCAUAUUCCUCUUCUGAAUCAACACAGCAGACCGUCACUACACAGAAAUCCACUGCAGGUCAGUCAUUCAAGUUUAAUGUGCAUUAUGUUAGAAUUGUGUGAUGUUCAUUUUACUUUGGUCAUUUGAUUUGGUGUAAGUAAUGCAAUAACAUUUGAG
ensembl:lncRNA